rnacentral:lncRNA from 1 species
CCCAUAUUCAAUUCCUCAUGUAAGUGCAGUCAGCAGCUCAGUGGAGUGUAACUAAUAAUAUCUGGUACACGGUGGCUAUUGAAAAACUUUUAGAAAUUUCUCAUGCCAUCAAGCAUGCUCUGUCUAGAAGCCAAAUAAACUAUACAAACAAAGAUUGAACAAGUGGUAAAAAGUAGCAUCUGUAUCUCUUUUUAUAUAUGUAUGACAAGAAAAAUGGCUAAACCAAUUAAAUUGCGAUAUGAAGAAAGCAUUGGAUACCAUAAUUUCAAUUUUAAGCUCACAACAAACAAGAAGCAAUGGAGCUUAAAUGAACAUGGUGUGGCAAUCUAAAGAUUUUUCUUUUGUAUGAAUGUGUUACAAUCCUGGAUUAUGGAUCGCGUCAUGGUGCGGUUGAUAGGACAGGAGCUCAUUAGAGGGAGCUCUUAACACCUUAGACUCACCAAGGAGAGAGUCUUAAAUCUCACAAUUUUAAGAAUAAAUUCUGCUCGUUUUUAUUGAAUAAAAAUAAAUCUCUUAUAUAGUGGAGGUUGAUACAAUUAUAAUACUUCUAAUUACAAUAGAAGUCUAAUACAAACAACUAUUAGAUAAAGAACUUCUACAAAAUCUAAUAACAAAUGUAUAAGAUAAGAUAAAAUACUAGAGCUAAGAUAAGAUAGGCGAGAUAAAAUAACAUAUAAAUAUAAUCUAUUUGUUAUGGAUUUAAUUUAUCCAUUAUCCAUAAUGGAAUGCUAUGAAAGGCUGAAGGAAAGUGACCAUGUGUCACUACACCACAUUGCACACGGAAUGAGAAAGGUCAGUAGAAAGGAAAAAUGCAGGAUAAGAUGGGGAAACAAGGAUGCAUCCAAAAGCCAAAUGCAAAUUACAUUUCUUAGCAGUAAAUAACUAAAAUUCCAUCAAAAAAUGAAUACAUAAAACAUCUGAUGGCUCAGUUCAACUUAGUUCUAAACCAAACACAAGGCAAACCAUUGAGAACAGGUAAAUACAACCAAUCAGUGAACCACUAUUAUGUAAUGCCUAUGUGUCACUACACCACAUUGCACACGGAAUGAGAAAGGUCAGUAGAAAGGAAAAAUGCAGGAUAAGAUGGGGAAACAAGGAUGCAUCCAAAAGCCAAAUGCAAAUUACAUUUCUUGGCAGUAAAUAACUAAAAUUCCAUCAAAAAAUGAAUACAUAAAACAUCUGAUGGCUCAGUUCAACUUAGUUCUAAACCAAACACAAGGCAAACCAUUGAGAACAGGUAAAUACAACCAAUCAGUGAACCACUAUUAUGUAAUGCCUAUCAGUGCUAUAGAGCACAAAUAAAAGUCAAGGCACCAGGCCUAGGGACAAAAAAAAAUACUAUUAUCAUUUAAUUAGAGGAGAUAUAAAAGUAUGAAGUCCAUUGUGAAGCUCAAAACACAAAAGGGCAUGUGUUUCUUGUUGAGAUUAGUCACUUUUGUCCCCUUCUUUGUGAUAUCUCACAUUCAAUAGAGCGAGUAAUUCCCAAACAUUUUUGUAACAUUAUAUGCAUCUUAAUUAUCUAACGUUCUUAGCUUGAUCAAAAUAAACUAUCAUGACAUCAUAACCUUUGCAGCAUAACAGUUCAACUGCACCCUAUGAACUCCAUGACAGCAACCAGGUAUUCAACAACAAUCAAUUAAAUGUGAUGCUCAUGACAUUUUAUUCAGAGCUACAUACCAAGAAUAAGUUCAACAUCCUCAACAAAACCCAUCCUCAACAUUUCAUCCGCCUCAUCAAGGACUCGGAACUUAAGCAAGCUUAAGUCAAUAUUGCCCCUCUCUAUGUGAUCCUGUAUGGAGUUCCCACAAAGUUAAAUUUUUUAUGAGGAAAUAUAUAUAGCAUUACAACGAGUCAAAUAGUACAACAAUAAUAGGACACCUUUAUGCGGCCUGGUGUUCCAACAACUAUAUCCACCCCUCUCUUUAAGCUCAUCUCCUGAGGAUGGUAUGAAGCUCCUCCAUACAAACAGCAAGAUACCAAGCCCAAUGCCUCACCAUAAACUUUGAAGUCAUCAUACACCUUUUCAACAAUAAUAAAAUAAAUAAUUUUUAAAAAAACAAGGCAAAAAUAAGAAUACCCAGAAACUAUAAGAAACAUCCAGAAGUAGCCAUCUGUGUUGUACCUGACUGGCCAACUCCCUGGUGGGUAGAAGAACCAGAACGCUUGGAGGCCUGCCAUACCCGGUCUUUCUUGAUGCCUUUGCAGGCCCAUUUGUAAGAGACUCCAAAAUAGGCAACACAAAAGCCAGAGUUUUACCCUGCAGAAUUUAGUAUGGAAAGAAACCAGAUAUCAAAAAACACUUCGUUCAUGUCAGGUAUUUAACAAUGAAAAUGCAGAAUCACAUUCGAUACCGAUUGCAAAAGUAUCUCGCACACAAGUUGCUAAAAAGGUUCUUCGCAAAUUCAUUACUUGACCGAGACAUAAUAACAAACCAAAGCCACUUAUUAAAAAAGUAGAGUUUUGAUCAAGGUGCUGAAACAAAAACAGACAGAUUGAAACAAGAGCUAGACCAUAAGCAAACAAAUAGGAAACCAGGGAGGGGGGCAAAGUAGUGCCACAAUAGAAACUUAAAACCUAACGUAUAACUAACGCAGAGUAAACCCAGAAUGAUAUUGUACCUGACCAGUCCGUGCGCGCCCAACCAAGUCAGACCCGUCGAGAACAUCAUCGAAGGUUCUGGCCUGAAUUGGGAACAACGACUCGAUCCCUUUAGACUUGAGCUUCUCUCUAAGGGGGCCGGAUAUGCGAAACCUCGAUAUAGCGUUGGGAUCCUCGGCCUUCGCUACCUCUCCCUCUCCCUCAUCAUCCUCCUCAGCCAACUUUGCCUUCUUAUUCUUCUUUGUUUUCUCUGACUUCAAAUUAACGGGCUCGACAAGCUCCGAACUCGUCUCGCUCCUCUCUUCAUCUUCAGAGUCAAUUUCCAUAGCUUUUCGCUUCUUCUUAUCUUUCUUCUUCUGCUUUUUGUCAGAAAAGAUCUCAUCCUGGGGCUCUGAGGUUUCCAAAGCUAUUUUCUUCUUCAUCUUCUUCUCUUUCUUGUCUUUAGAAUCUGAGGAGUUAUUGGCUAGAGCUAUGGAUGGCAUUAUAUUAUAGACGCAGCAGCAGAGGUUGAAUGUAGUUCUUCUGUGUGUGAAAGAGAAGGGAGAUAGAGAGAGAGAGGUGCGUGCUUUCUCCUGCUACGGAAGGUUGUAGCGAUGAGUUGC